rnacentral:rRNA from 1 species
GAUGAACGCUAGCGGCAGGCCUAACACAUGCAAGUCGAGGGAGAAGCCUUUCGGGGCAGAAACCGGCGCACGGGUGCGUAACGCGUAUGCAACCUACCUUUCACAGGGGGAUAGCCCGAAGAAAUUUGGAUUAAUACCCCAUAAUAUUGCGAGAUGGCAUCAUUUAGCAAUUAAAACUGCGGUGGUGAGAGAUGGGCAUGCGUCCUAUUAGCUAGUUGGAGUGGUAACGGCACCCCAAGGCUACGAUAGGUAGGGGUCCUGAGAGGGAGAUCCCCCACACUGGUACUGAGACAGGGACCAGACUCCUACGGGAGGCAGCAGUGAGGAAUAUUGGUCAAUGGUCGGAAGACUGAACCAGCCAUGCCGCGUGCAGGAAGAAUGCCUUAUGGGUUGUAAACUGCUUUUAUAUGGGAAGAAUAAGGUGUACGAGUACAUUGANGACGGUACCA